rnacentral:lncRNA from 1 species
AGAAUGCUUAACAAAGCCUAAGCAAGUCUCUUUUUUAUCAAAGCUCAGGAAAAAUACUGGGAUGAUAACACCCAGUGCUUGGGUGUCUUAAAGGAAGAAGAAAAAGAAGAUGAUGCCUGAGAAGUUUGCCACCUGCAGCUUGGCACUUCCUCAUCCUAAAAUUUGGCUGCUAAUUUCUGCUGAUGCUCAUGGAAAAUUUCCCAAAGACCCUGCUCCUGAAUGAAUUGAAAGCCUUUGAGUUGAGUUUGUAUUCCUUAACCUGUACCCUGUAAAAGACGGUAGCCAAGUAAUGGAACUGUAGUUAAUAAAACAGGAGACAGUCUCUCUUCUGGAUAGAUGGAAGACAUUCCUGUUUGCCUCCAAAAUAAGCCUCUUUUCCCAUCACUGCCCUUGGAGGUUUGACAGUUCAUGCCCAGCACGCCUCUCAGUAAGCACCGAGAGCAGAAGAAGAUAAUCACUUGGCGGGAAUUGUGCAGACUGCAAUUCUCUCUUCAAGGAACAAUUUGCCAGGGGAGCUGCCCAUGCUGGUCACAUUUUGUUAGUUUCUACCCACCAAGCAGCCGCUUGUGACAAAGAAGCUCCUGUCCUUCACUGGAUUUGGUUUCAGGCAAAUGAAAUGAUGCCUUGCCACUCUCUGGCAGACAGAAGUAGUUUCUC